rnacentral:ncRNA from 1 species
UUGAACGUGAUGAAGGGAACUAGUAGCAAUUAUAUCUGAUAUGCAGAGAGCUGGUGGUUGGUGCAAACCAGUACAGAUGAAUUGUGAAUCCAUCCCAGAGCAGAGUACUGAACCGUUUAGUAAGUAUUCUCGGUGAACACCGUUAUCGUUUCUUGAGUGGGGAGCAGUUUGCUUUCAACUAGGGUGGCAACGCGGGUUAGCUCUCGUCCCUUAU